ensembl:snRNA U2 U2 spliceosomal RNA
AUUGCUUCUUGGCCUUUUGGCUAAGAUCAACUAUAGUAUCUUUUCAUAUCAACUUAAAAUGUAUAUAAUAAAAUAGAUAAUGGAUGCACACUGCAAAUAGGACUGCAUACUUUUA